UUUUGGAUCAUCUUAUGACCAGUUGUUCUCAUGUUUAUGUGAUCUUUAAGCAUAUUUGAUGUUAAUCUCUUUCACGCUACGGUCAUCAUGAGACUCAUGUUAUAUUUUGUGUUUUGAUGAUAAGGAUGCUAGGGUUAAGAUAUUUGUUCUGUAUUUAAAAGGAAAAUACAUUAAAGGAAAGAUAUUAUUCUUAUAUCUAUUGGUUACUUCUCGUGCUUUCUUUGUCAAUUUAUUCCAAAAAGGGAGAGAUUUAGACACCCAAGCAUUUAUAAGCAUCUAUACAUUCAUGUUUUGUUUUAAUAACUUUGAUACUUUUGCACUUGAUCGGUUUGGUUGUUUUGUUGUUAUGUGUGCAG
rnacentral:lncRNA from 1 species